rnacentral:rRNA from 1 species
UACGUAGGUCCCGAGCGUUGUCCGGAUUUAUUGGGUGCAAAGGGAGCGUAGACGGCGAUGCAAGUCUGAAGUGAAAGGCGGGGGCCCAACCCCCGGACUGCUUUGGAAACUGUAUGGCUGGAGUGCAGGAGAGGUAAGUGGAAUUCCUAGUGUAGCGGUGAAAUGCGUAGAUAUUAGGAGGAACACCAGUGGCGAAGGCGGCUUACUGGACUGUAACUGACGUUGAGGCUCGAAAGCGUGGGGAGCAAACGGG